ACUGCCAUUUUGACCAGUUGUUUUUAACAUAAAAAUAAAACAGAUUAUGGAUCAUUGUAUUUCUCUAGUUUAUAGCUGACUUUACCAGCUGACUUAUCUAUUGGCUGUUGAAACAGAUGACGCCCCUUAUGUUCUAAAACCAGCCUCAGCUACUUGAACAGCUGAAAGUCUACACCACAA